UACGUAGGGUGCGAGCGUUGUCCGGAAUUACUGGGCGUAAAGAGCUCGUAGGUGGUUUGUCGCGUUGUCCGUGAAAACUCACAGCUCAACUGUGGGCGUGCGGGCGAUACGGGCAGACUGGAGUACUGCAGGGGAGACUGGAAUUCCUGGUGUAGCGGUGGAAUGCGCAGAUAUCAGGAGGAACACCAGUGGCGAAGGCGGCGAUCUGGGAAGAUACUGACGCUGAGGUGCGAAAGCGUGGGGAGCAAACAGG
rnacentral:rRNA from 1 species